GAAGCGGCCGUGGAGGCGGCGGAAGCGGCUCGGGCUGCCAUCUUGGGUUACUUGCUGGCAUUCCUAUUAAACAACCUGGCAUUUGUUUACAAGUGAAAAACACCCUAACCAUGGAGGUCAGAUGGGCCAGCAGAAGAGGAACUAGGGGAGAACACACCUGCUCAACAAGGAGAAGGCAGCCUUGGGACCAUCAAAGUUGUGAAUGCAAGCAAAUAAAUGUUUCAUAGACUUUUUAAAAGUAACUUAGAAGCACCCUGGUAAAAUAUUAUUACCACCCUACCCUAUUCCCGCAAAUAAUAAACCAAGAGGAAAAUCGG